rnacentral:tRNA from 1 species
UGGGGCUCAGUGGUAGAGCAUCUGCUGCACAUGCACAAGAUUCCAGGUUCGAUUCCUGGUAUCUCAA